CCUCCCUUUCUGAAGUUUUUUUUUUUUUUUCUUUUUAAACACUCAUUGUUUCUGAGAGCCCAUGAGUUCAGCAGCAAAUUGCAGUGAUGUUUUAGGUUUGACUGCUUGCUCGUUCUGAUUCAGACCCUGUGGAUUCUCAGUUUUAGUAGCUAGAGUGGAUUUCAGCAGAUUUGCAGCUAGACGAGCUGAGCAUCACUGGACUUGCCUUUCUGCAGCGGGCAGGCGGCUCAGCUGAGCCGGUGUUGCUCACAUGGUGCACCACGUUCUUUUAGGUGGCAGGCUCUUUUUUAGCAUUGGCAACACUUAGAGAAAGAAGUCCAGACUCGUAUGCCAGAGGUUGGCUCCAGAAUUGGCUUGGUAUUUUAUUAUCACAUCAAAAGGCUAUAGCCAUGGAUUUGUUGACUGCUGGAUAUAGGAAUUUUGGAAGGAACGGCUGUCUGAGGCAGCACCAGAAAACCAGCUCUGUAUGAAAGCAACGUGAAGGGGAAAGUCUGUUCCGGCUCAAUAUGGCUGUUUUUCAAAUCUUUUUGAGAAUGAACAUUGUUGCUUACAAUCUACAAGUGGAUGCAGGAUUUUAUAGAGCCUUGAUGCCUGAAUGGCUUGCAGUCAUGUACAGUCAUGCAGCUGUUGAGAUGUAAGCAGGGGUAACACGGGAUCACAGAAGAGAUGUCCACAUGCAAACCUUGUAAAACACUUUUCUGGAGGAAAAAAAAAUGUAAAUUCUUAGUAAGGGUGAAUGAAAAGCCAGUAAGCAAACAUGCAAAUGAGAGUGGGAAGAGGAGUUUUACCAUUUGGAAGUAAACUCCUCCAUCCAGGGAUUUCAUCUGUGCUACUCCUACUGGCCCAUUUCAGUAGGAGCAAGUCUUCUAGCUGCCAAUCAACCAUUUUCUUUUUGAUAAUUAUUCAUAUUGCUGUAGAAACGGAAAUUAUCUCUAUUUUCUCACUUCCCAGUUGAAAACUGUAAUUGCAGCUGCUCCCUCCCCCUUGUUUUGGAAGUUUUACAUGCAGAGAGUCAUCAGCCAGGCUUGCCUUAAAUCAAAUCUUCCCAUGCAGCCUGGAUGCUAAUCUAGCAAGCACAACAGCUGCCUAUUCUCAGCAAGGAGAAAAGCAACACAUUUCUUCAGCCACUGGCUAGGGAAUUCCUGCUCAAAGAAGAGGGCUACGCCUUGUCUGGAGCCUUUAUAAAGUUAUAUGAGGCAGUUUCCUAAGGGCUUUCACAGUUACUGCUAAUCAUCUUAAACUGAAACAGGGCUUCCAAAAACGGCAUGUAAAUCCCCGUAACACACCUUCAAUUUCCGUCUCCACGGCUACCCAGCUGCCCUGAUCCUCUGUGACAGGAUCUGGAAACUCUGUGAUGCUUCCUUUUGCACUACUUCUACCCAAAAACCUCUCCACGGGCAGAUGUCCUGCUCGCUCUUGGCUCCUCGCUCACAGGAGACAUCAUCUCUGCCAUGUGGUGGGUGACAAGCCGAAGGGGAAGCCCGUGGGACAUGUGAUUGGCAGGGGACACAGGGAUCUCUGCUCUCCCUCCAGCAGAGGGGUGAUGAUUUCCGCAGGGGUGUAAGAGAAGAGCCGGAGCCCCCCACACAGGCCUGCCCUGCCUGGCUGUGCUCACUCAUCUGCCCAAAGGCUGGAUCUGAAGGUUUCUUCAACACCAUGUUAAUAGCAUUUAUUCAUGCUGCUUUUACUGAACCUUCUCAUUCUGCUCUAAGACAUGCAGCUUGCGAAUAGCAGCUACUCCCCAGCCAGGGAAGCUGAUUUGGGGGGACAUGGUAUAUGCAGCCUUAUUGGACAUUUUCCAGUGACUUUAUAUGCAGACACUGCCUUCUCACUGAGAGCCAAAAUCUGCCCUCUUCUGAAGUCUCUUGGGUCUAAAUUAGUGAGAUUUUUAUAUAUCAUGACUUGAAUCUCAAUGUGUUUCCUUGCUUGCCAUCCCUGCGGUCACAGGGUAGGCAAGGAGAAUUUGUGCUGCAGUUUACCUUGCGAUAAGUGAGCUUUUUUGGUUGUCCUGGUGAACCACGUGAUCAGCAUGCAUGUUCCUCGUGUUGCCAAAGCAGGAGCACUUUCUGCAAGGGACCAUUUUCAAGGGUGCAGGAUUUGCAGAGGCACGGAUGUAUGGAGCAGCGUUCCAGCAGCACGCAGGAUCCCCCAUCUGAACAUCUGUGGUGAGAUGCCCCCAAAGCGCUGCAGGGUCAAGAGCACGAAGCCAGACAAGAAUCAACGAGGCCUUAUGCAGGCACUCAUGAAUAACGAGCCAGCUAGUGGAUUUGCAGAUGGACUAUAACAGCUUGUUAUCUGAUGUCUCCUGGGCUCAAACACUGAGACAUCUGCAGUUUUUGACCUGUUUUUUCCCUCUGCUGGCUCAGUACCUAGUUAGCUGGUCAUCCAACGUGGAACCAAAACAGAGGGAAGAAGACAGCAAAUAGCAGUGAGCAGGAGAUGCUGGAAUAGUAAGAUGCCAAAAGGACUGGAAAUACAAUGAGAACACAGGUUGCUUUGCUCUCCUAUAGCUUUUUGUGCACAAAGCUUUCUAAGUUUGUUUCUGGAAUUCUGUUGAAAGCAGAAGUUUCGGCUUGCCAAUUGUCACUGAACUUUUAUGUUGGUUUUAUUCUGCAUGUAUUUUGCAUCUUUAAUCACUUCACUCAGCACUGUGAGUUAAAAAUGAACCUGAAAACCAGACGUUGGGAUUUCACUGGCUUUCCCUGUUUAUUAAUACAAAGCUCUCUUCAUCUCAUCUCCACCCGCCCCACCCCAGGGUGGGAAGAGCCCCCAGAGCACCCUGCUGGGUCAUCCUGUGGGCUGUCCUCUGCUCCUUGGGGCACAGCGACUGUGCCAGCUAAUAGCGUGCCUCUUCCCUGCUUCCAGGCUCUCAUUGCUACAGAGUGCGUCCAGAUUGUCAGAAGGGGUCAUGCUCAUCAGCCCCAGCCUAAUCUCCUAAUUAACUCCCGCUAAUGUAAGUGCACUCAGGAAGAUUCUUUUAGCCACUCUGCUCAAGAAAUGAGAAGUCCUCUCUUGACGAGAUAGCGUUUCUUGCUUCGUGCCUCAGUGUAGUGACAACGCUGUCUUGCUGCAUGAGAAGGAUUUGCCUCAUCCUGUGGUGUUCAUUUCUCAUCCCUGGAUUAUAGAUUAUUUAAAAUCAACUCAGGAUAAUAGGUGACAGCUCAGUGUAUGUUAUCUGCAGCAUUUCAGCCUUGCAUAGGCGGAGGCCUCCUGGCUUCCUGCUUCUGUAAUUUCUGUGCCUCAGAAAAGUAAAGAAGUACAGACUGGGGUAUGCACCUUGUAGUGACAUGUGAGGCUCUGGGACCUCCCUGAGAAACGUGCUUUCACAGCUUCUGAUUUAAUUUGCCACAUUGCAUGGAUGUCCUGCUCAUUGUAGGCAAGGUUAGAAAAGGAUUUAAGCCUGUUUCUGAUGUGGAAAGAGAGCAGUCCCACAGGUAGUAACACAAAAAAGAGCUAAGCUCAGACUGACCCCAGGAAAAAAAGCAAAGCAAGCUCCCAAAAUGGAGCAUAACAGGACUGCAUCGAGAGAGUGAAUCUGGAGCAGGAUGAGAAUUGUACCUGCUUGCCUCACAAGCAGAGACUCUCCCCGCCUUCCCAACUUCAAUUUUGCCUUGGAGAAUCCAUAUGAAAACAAACAAACGCCAACUGAAAUGCUUCUAUUGUUUUCUGUCUCUGUUUGUAAUGAAAGCUGCUCCUUUAAAACAGAGCAAUAUCCUCCCCUAUGAUUUUUGCAGUCACAACACAGAAAUGGAGAAAACCUGAAAGCACAAUUGACUCCUUUUGUUUUUUCCUAGACAUGCCAGUGGGAAAGAGAACAAAAAUCAUGCCAAGUAAAUCUAGAUUUUUAACUGUCACCAAUGAUCAACAGAAAACAACCAAAUGUUUAUUCUGGUUUUAUAGUUUGUGUUUAAGCUGAUCAGCAGAUCUUCAAUUUGAUAUUCAGUCAUCGUUACAUAAAAAUAUCUUUUAGAUCAUUUCUUUAUUAAUUGAUCACUUCUACAGAGUUUAGGCAGCAAGUUUUUGGGUGAUAAUUUAGUCACAUACUUCCUUGGCAUGCAGAUUCUGUUCACAAAUUCUUUGUUUGGUGAUGCUCAGCUUGGUACUGGAGAUCAAAUCCCCUUUGUACUGAACUCGACAAGAAAAUGUACAAUAGUGUGAGCAGGGUGUUGAUUUUAUCUCUGCUGUAUGUGCCAUGGCAGGAGCUGCCAUAACAUCUAAUGCCAAACCCUUAACACCCAUAUACUGCUCUGGAAGUACAGCUCCUCGUAUCGGGUACCGAGCAGUCACAAUUCUGAGCAAAAAGCAAGGGAGGGGCUGCAGCCCUGCUACUGGAGAUGUAAAAGAGAGGCAGCAAGGAGAAAGAUGUCUCGUUUAUUGCCUAGCAGGUUGGAUUACUCUUCUGUGUGUGGUUUGCUUGUGUGGCACCAGUGACAUGGGUGUGCAAGCUGCAGCCACUCACAGGUCUCUGCAACCUGCCUGCUUCCUGGUUAUUAUCUUCCUCCUAGACCAUCGUAAACAUUUCUGCAGGCAAGCAUCUAAGGUCAUGCUGCUAAAUCUGUAUGCGUGCACCGAAAUAUCAUGAUACAUGUCUUUCUCCUCAUGUGUUUAAUGCUGAAAAAUUCCAUCAAAUUCAACAAGAGCUCAGCAUGUAAUAUAAAGCAGCUGUUUAUGAGUGCUCAAGUACAGAAUUAAGAACCAAACGUCAGGCAGCCAGAUUUGAAAAAUGUAGUCAGCCUGUAACUGAUGUGCCCUGCUGAAAGGAGUCUGGUCUAAAAAUGCUCACGAAGUGUGAUAGUUUAUGAUGUAAAGGAACCUGUAGCUAGCAGUGUGUGCUUCCUACUUGUUCUGGGUUUCAUUAUGCCUUCCUGCCUCACAGAACAGCUGUAACAUUAAACCCAUUGAAAUUUGUAAAGUGCUUAGAGAUCCGCUGAAGGGAGGCAGGAGGGAAGUAAAAGGUACUCAAUUUUCAUUGCUAUUUUAUCAGGCAAGAUAGUUUCCAGAAUGUCUUCAUAAUAAAUAAGAAUAAAUAGCUGCAAACGUAGAAUCUAUCCUGCGCUCGCUAAUAGGUGAAUAAGGAGAAGGCGAGUGCAGAUUUGAAGAUUUGAAUUCAUAUUUCAUACCUUUCUUGGGACCGUGGCUUGAAGCACCAUGGUGCACUUCACUUCUGCUAACAUUUGAAUAACAGUGGCAAACAGUUUGUUUGACCAUUUUCUCCUGUCAAAUUUCAACUAGAUUUUCAAAUAAAUCAUUCACCAAUAUUUUUUCCUCAUGACUUGGUUACCUCAAUAGCCAUCUGAACAAUAUUCAUCAAAUAAAUUACCCACUUUUUUUUUCCCGUCAAUCUGCAAAUAAUUUAUUCACAAAUACUUUUUACAGAAGGCAGCCAGCUCUAGCCAGGACAAAUCAAGGUAAUUUCCUGCCCUUUUGAUCAAAUGCCAGUAGGACUUUAUCUUGGACAGCUCAAUAGAGACAGGUUUUAAUGCAUAAUACAUAAUGGGUAAGCUGAGUUUUUCACAGUUCUUUGUGAGCUCUCUGCUGUUGCCCAUAUUUCUGUUCAGCUACCGAGAGAGGAAUGACAGGGGGCAUGUAUUUUAUAUCCAGGUACGUUUGGAAGCAUUUCACCAAACCGACUGUGCAUCUUAGAGGCUGUCGGGCUCAUGCCAGCUACAGCUGUGCUGGGGCAGCCCCUUGGCUGGUUAGUAGGGCAAGGCGAGAUUGAACAGGAGCUGAGGAUGAGUAUUGUGCCCGCUCCAAAAUCCAAAGUGAACCUCAAAGCAGAAGGAAAUCGAGACUUUGGCCAGCACACUGGGAUAAUGUCCCUAGCUCUUGAGAAAAGGAUCUUUAAUAAGUACCCACGGCACCAGACAGCACAUCUAGGUGUAGGUGUCUGCAGGACAGCUUUGCGCUGUGGUUCCCUUUGCCCAGGGCAGUUUGGGAGCUGCUGACGGUCUCCUUCCUGCCCUUAGUGUCUGCCCUGCUGCUGACAGAGCAGUUGAGCAUGGACUUACCUGUCUGCCUAGCCCUCUCUUUGUUGUGGAGAGCUUAUGGCUGCCGCACACCAGCAGCAAGGGCCCUCACUUACAGCAGGCAGUGGCACCAAAAGAUUGUUCUGCUGCUUAGGGUUCGCAGCCAGCGAUCAGCGAUCAUGUUGUUGAAUAUAACCCUUCAAUGGUGAUCCUUCUCCGAGAGACUGCUGGCUAAUCUAGUUACCCCAGAAUGAGAGGUGCCUUCAGCCAAUGCAUUAUGCAGCAAUCUAGGUAUGAAGAAAUGCAGGCAAACAUUUCUGCAGUGUCAUCAAGAAAUGAAAUAGAUGUGGUAUCUACGCAACGACAACAAUGCCAAAUGCUGAAAGUCAAACUGGAUGCCUUCCUAAGAAACAAACAACUGACCACAUAUUUACCCUGCACGUCAUAAAUAAACAUGGAGAAAGCACAAAAACAGAGGAAGAUAUUUGUCUUGACUUUAUACUCAGACAAAGCUUUUAACUCGGUCUGGCUCCUGUAGCUGAACUAUACAAAAUGGAAUUGGCAAGGGGAAAAAAUGACAUAAUCACAUACAUGUAACAAUCCAUUGAAAGUAGGACACGCAACAAAAAAAAAAGAGAAGAAAACAGGCUUUGAAGGAGAAGGUAGACUAACUCAGUGGUCAGCUUCAGCCCUGUUCUUUUUGGCAUCUAUGCUGGUGACUUAUCAGCCUCAGAGAAAUGGUUUUAAAAUCGAAUGAGGGAUCUCAAACAUCUGCUUAAAUUGUCACAGCAUUUCAAAACAUUGUUUAACACAGCCUGCUGCAAGGCCACGGUGUGAGAAAGGAAGAACAUCAGUAAUGAACGGCUGUCUUGGAAAACAGAUGCAAAAAGAGACUUGAGGAUUCAGCAUGGGUGAUGGACUCCACAAGCUGUUUGUAUAGGGUUGCCAGUUAAUGGUGUAAUUCUGUUUCCAUGUAUGUGGGAAGGGGAAAACCAAAUAAUGAUAAAGAAAUAGCUUUUCCUCCGUGUGCAGCAUGUGUACAGACCACUAUGAUAUUGUAUCCAGGGUGGGUGCCUGCAUGUCAACAAGCACGUAGAAAUGUGGGAGAAUCCGAAAGAUGCUGCAGGGGCUGGGAAGUGAAUCCUAUAAUGCGAGGCGUCGGCGAAAACAAUCCAUUCUGUUUAGCAGUGAGCAGUGAUAGGAGCACUGUGUAUAGUUACUUAUCCAUGAAAAUGGGUUGUGAGUGCAGGUUUGUAGACAAAAGCAUAACAAGUUCUGAUGUUUCGAAGUCAAAGUCGGACAAAUUCAACCUUGAAAGAAGCAAUUUUCUAGCAGCAAGAGUAAUGAGACGUUGGAGUAAAUUAGCGGAUGGAACAAGGCACUCUCCAUUCCUUGGAGCCUUUAAGACAAGAUGUGUUUUCUUUCAAAUAAAACUGCCUUGAUCCAGCUGCUGGGAAAAAAUUCAUGGCUUGUGUACACAUGUCAGAUUAAGGGGUUACGGUGGCCCCUCCUAUCUGGAAGUCUGACCGUGUAUAU